AGCUGUUAACCGCUUCGAAGCUGUCCCGGAUGGCCCCGAUGCCCCAGUCUGAAGAGGAUGACUCCGCUGGGGGAGCAUGGUGGACAGUGUUCUCCUGUGUUGUUUCCUCAGUGCAUUGCCCUAAGCCCAGGCCCAGGCAUAGAACUGCUGCCUCAAAAAACAGCCUCAUGUUGCCGUCAAGAUCCAGGCCCUGGAGCCCCCGUGCACACAGAUGUGCAGGCAGGGAGGAGUGGGACUGAGCUGGUGUGCGUACAGGGCAGGAAACAGCCCUGCAGCGCUGCUACUUUCAAAAUACCAGAACGCCCAGCUGCCUGCAUCCUUGUGCACCCUGCUCCUGUGCUCUGGAUACGGGAUAAAGAGGAGAGACCGCAGCUAAAUCCGAGCUCCUCAGACAGGUUCCUGAAGACCACAAACUACUAGGGCCGCUGUUUUGAAAGGGCAAAGCUCAGGAAUGGCAAUCACAGAUAAGCUGCAGCAGAAGUCUUGGUUGAGGAAGAACUCAGCCUAAACUUCCUACGUGAAACCUGCAGCCAUAGUUACCAAAAAUACAUUUUUUAAAAGAGCCAACAAAACAGGAAAGAGAAAACUACACAUAGGAAUGGAGAUGAAUCUACUGACACUGGGUAGAAGGGAGAAAACAGGGAUGCGAACAGCGGAACAGCUACAGCCGCCGCGGUCUCCUCUCCCUCAGAGGUUUCAACUUCAUCUCAGUGUAAGGAUGACUCGUCGCAACUAUGGUACCUGAAAGUCACUGACAAGCCGGUUCUCCCAGCGCGGGCACCAGUGACUCAGGGCCUGUUUUUCUGCACGCUGGCCACGAAACAGAAAGACUUCGACCCUGGCUGGUGGGGAGCGGAGCAGUGAAGGACGCAGCACCAGAGCCUCCGAGGGAGACUCGCUUCCCUGUGCUUCCUCGCUCACGAGCCCCGGCAGCAGCUGAGAGGAGGGGGAGGCAGCACCGAGCGCUUUGCUGCAGCGGAGGCAGCCUGCACCAGGGGAGCGACACCAAGCUAUCAAGAGCAGGUACCUUCUCUAGCAUCCCGUGCAAAGAGUCGCCCUGUGAUUAAAGGCGUGACACUGCUACGGCAGGCAUUCAGCAUCCACAACAGAAGAAACAAAAGCAAAAUAAAAAGCAUCUAUAAAAAGAUUUAGGAUUAUAAAUAGGCCAUCUAUCUCUCUCAAACCACUCAGGAACUGAGAGGACAGAGUUGGCUUUGCAGGAGUAAGAGCUCUCUACGGUGACUGCUCUCAUUACCUAACCACCCGAAGUCACAAAACCAAUUUGAAAUUCCAGUAUCCCAAGGCGCAAUUACUUUGAUUAAUGAAGAUGGCAACAUUCCCAUCCCCACUGCCCAAGAACAGAUGUAGUUUGUUACUGAAACACAAUAAAAGCAGCAUUUGUUGCUUGUUAUGUGGACAAACUUACUGAAGGAAAAGAAGCAGAGGGAAGACGGGCUGUAGUUGCCAGGCUGCUCUGAUGCAGGUGAGCAUUUGACACAACACUGCUAAAGCAUCAUCUCAUCUGUGCACGUGGAACAGCUGGCUCACGUUUUCAAGGUUAAGAGCCAAAUUCACCAGAGGCACAGAAAGGAAGACGGUUCACAAAUUUGGGCUAUUGUAGAAGUGGAAAACCAGGCUAAAACAGACAAUAACAACCUGUUCCCCAGAGAAACACACAGCAUGCCCGCAGUUUAACAGUAGUGGUCAGGCACUCUACAAGAGCAAGGAGUCCAAUGGUUUGAAAUUGAGGAAUGUGAACUGGUUUAAUGCGGCCUUCCUAGAAAAGAGUCCUCCCAUUACAUCAUCCGGUCAGCGUUUAUUCCACCAUUAGCAGACUGACAUUUGCGAGGACUCAGACAGACAGACAACCACUGGCUUCCCGUGCUGAUGAGCGAGGCUAAUGGUGAAGGGCACACCACACGCAGCACUGUGGCUAGCUGAGGCUCUGAUCUGCAUUUUGUCCUUUUUUUUCCUGUAACACCCAUAGGACUUUUAAAUCAAUAUAUUCUGUGUAUAAAACCAUAACGGGAUAUUUCAGAGGGAACUAAAAGCAUGUUUGUUUUGUCCACAGAUGAAACACUGGUGUAGUUGGAGACUGAACCUGUAGUGGAGUGUUAGUCAAUUGUAAACUGUAGGAAAUCUGUGCAUUGUACACAAAUUGAAUACAGAAGAGGAACAGGCAGAGUCUGCGUCAUUCCAGUUCUGAUAAAGCGCACGGCCUUCGGAAUUCCUGUCCCCGUUCGUGGAGCCAUUUAUUGGAUACUGCAGAACAGUAAAGGUGCGGGAUCACUGCGCUGCGCAGCGCCCGCUUCUGUUCACGUACGUGCGGCGUGAUGGCUUUCAGGAGGGCCAAAGGUACCUCACUCGCUCCCAC